rnacentral:rRNA from 3 species
AGUCUGACGGAGCAACGCCGCGUGAGUGAUGAAGGUUUUCGGAUCGUAAAACUCUGUUGUUAGGGAAGAACAAGUACCGUUCGAAUAGGGCGGUACCUUGACGGUACCUAACCAGAAAGCCACGGCUAACUACGUGCCAGCAGCCGCGGUAAUACGUAGGUGGCAAGCGUUGUCCGGAAUUAUUGGGCGUAAAGCGCGCGCAGGCGGUUUCUUAAGUCUGAUGUGAAAGCCCCCGGCUCAACCGGGGAGGGUCAUUGGAAACUGGGGAACUUGAGUGCAGAAGAGGAGAGUGGAAUUCCACGUGUAGCGGUGAAAUGCGUAGAGAUGUGGAGGAACACCAGUGGCGAAGGCGACUCUCUGGUCUGUAACUGACGCUGAGGCGCGAAAGCGUGGGGAGCGAACAGGAUUAGAUACCCUGGUAGUCCACGCCGUAAACGAUGAGUGCUAAGGGUUAGAGGGUUUCCGCCCUUUAGUGCUGCAGCAAACGCAUUAAGCACUCCGCCUGGG